rnacentral:rRNA from 1 species
GACGUAGGGCGCGAGCGUUGUCCGGAUUUAUUGGGCGUAAAGAGCUCGUAGGCGGCUCGUUGCGUCGGCCGUGAAAACCUGGGGCUUAACUCUGGGCGUGCGGUCGAUACGGGCAUCACUAGAGUUCGGCAGGGGAGACUGGAAUUCCUGGUGUAGCGGUGAAAUGCGCAGAUAUCAGGAGGAACACCGGUGGCGAAGGCGGGUCUCUGGGCCGAUACUGACGCUGAGGAGCGAAAGCAUGGGGAGCGAACAGG